rnacentral:rRNA from 1 species
UACAGAGGUCUCAAGCGUUGUUCGGAUUCAUUGGGCGUAAAGGGUGUGUAGGUGGCGCGCUAAGUCGGGUGUGAAAUUUCGGAGCUUAACUCCGAAACUGCAUUCGAUACUGGCGUGCUUGAGGACUGGAGAGGAGACUGGAAUUCAUGGUGUAGCAGUGAAAUGCGUAGAUAUCGUAAGGAAGACCAGUGGCGAAGGCGGGUCUCUGGACAGUUCCUGACACUGAGACACGAAGGCCAGGGGAGCAAACGGG